UACGGAGGGGGCGAGCGUUAUUCGGAAUUACUGGGCGUAAAGCGCGUGUAGGCGGCCCUGCAAGUCGGAUGUGAAAUCCCACGGCUCAACCGUGGAAGUGCAUUCGAAACUGCAGGGCUAGAGUCCUGGAGAGGAAGGUGGAAUGCUUGGUGUAGAGGUGAAAUUCGUAGAUAUCAAGCGGAACACCGGUGGCGAAGGCGGCCUUCUGGACAGUGACUGACGCAUGAGACGGCGAAA
rnacentral:rRNA from 1 species